rnacentral:rRNA from 1 species
AUUGAACGCUGGCGGCAGGCAUAACACAUGCAAGUCGAGCGGAGCGGCGGACGGGUGAGUCAUGCCUAGGAAUCUGCCUGGUAGUGGGGGAUAACGUCCGGAAACGGGCGCUAAUACCGCAUACUAUCACAUGAGCAUAGGUCGGAUUAGCUAGUUGGUGGGGUAAAGGCAUACCAGGGCGAAGAUCCGUAACUGGUGUGAGAGGAUGAUAAGGCCCACUGGAUCUCUGACACGGUCCAGACUCCUACGGGUGGCAGCAGGGGGGAUUAGUGGACAAUGGGCGAAAGCCUGAUCCAGACAUGCCGCGAUUGUGAAGAAGGUCUUCGGAUUGUAAAGCACUUUAAGUUGGGAGGCGUUACCAACAGAAUAAGCACCGGCUAACUUCGUGCCAGCAGCCGCGGUAAUUC